rnacentral:rRNA from 1 species
UACGUAGGGCGCAAGCGUUGUCCGGAAUUAUUGGGCGUAAAGAGCUCGUAGGCGGCUUAGUAAGUCGGGUGUGAAACCUCCAGGCUCAACCUGGAGACGCCACCCGAUACUGCUGUGGCUAGAGUCCGGUAGGGGAGCGUGGAAUUCCUGGUGUAGCGGUGAAAUGCGUUGAUAUCAUUAGGAACUCCGGUGGCGAAGGCGGCUCGCUGGACCUUUUCUGACGCUGAGGCGCGAAGGCUAGGGGAGCAAACGGG